CGGGUGUCAGCGGGCCGCACUCGCUCUGUGCCGGAGGCGUGAGUCCUCACCCGAGCCGCUCGGUCCUGCGGCCGCUCUGGGUCCGCCCUGGGCAGGCUCAGGGGUGGCGGACGAGCCGGCGAGCGGAGGGGCGGCGCCCUGACGGGCGGGGCGACCCGGAGCUGCAGAGCGGGAUGGACAGGUGGGCGUGGGCUGCGCGGCCGGCGGAACUGGCCGGCCAUCCCGCCGCGGCCCUGACGCCUGGGCUGCGCUGGCUGCUGGGGUCAAAUCCCAGCUGACCUUUCUCCGGAGAAAAGAUAAAUUAUUAUGGUUGUGUGUGCGCGUCAGUGCAAAUAUUUUCCGAGCCCUCCUCCGGCUCUGGGUGCCUUUUGGAUCCCCCGCAUUCCUCAGCCCCGGGCAGGGAGCGGCGGCGCCCUUUGUGUCUCCGCGGAGUGCAUGCCACCUCGGGGAAAAGAGCGAACCUGAGUUAGAACGAACGGGGAGAGAGAGACACUAGCGUGAGUUUUGUUAAUCUUUUAAAGCCUCCCGGUGAACCUAGAAACCCAAAAAUUAACUUGAACAGCAAAUGCUCUGGGGUUUAGAGAACGUUUGUUUCUUUGUCUUUUUCAUUGCCUCUUCCGUGCCAAAAAUUAUCUGUUCGCUGGAGAACACAUCCGGAAAGAGCUGUUUUCCCCUGUUCAUCCAGUGAGAAGAUGUGUUUUCUCUCUACCAGUUAGAUUUCUUCUUUUGUCGGAAAGAAGAGCAUCUGUCCUCCAGGCUGGGCUUUGUCUCCGUUUGCUCUGCAACCGCACUAGCGCAGCAAGGCUACAUAAGGAGGCUUUUCAGCAGAGGAGCCUGGUGUUGAGCUGGUGCCAUGGGGAAUGAAUUCUUCUAUAGACCCCUCGUCCUCUUCUGGAAGUUAAAGGGGGGCGAUUUGAAAAAAAAGCAUAUGUGCAUGAAUGUGUCUUCCCGUCCUAGCAUUUUGUGCCUUUGUGCCUUUAAAGUCCCUGUGCUUCUGAGUGGACUCGACUGUCAGUGCAGCUCAAGGCCCUCACUAGCCUCCACACUCAGAGUUCCCCUGACAGAGCCAGUGUAAACUGGUUUUCACAGCAUGAGCUGUAUUCCUGCUGAAGAACUGGCUUUUACAGAAUUUGCAAAGCUAGCAAUUAGACAACUAACACCCAUGCCACUGUGUUGUUAAAGGGAAAAGUCAGUAUUGCUAGAGACCGAGAAUGGAUCUCUGCAGCGUUGUUUUUAUGGGAAGAAAUAUGUAUGUAAAGAAGCCAACAGACAGUGCAGGGCUAAAUCCAUGUCCGCUGCCCUUGGUUUCUGGUUUACUUUAAAAAGCUCCAUCUGCAUCAUCUUGACAAGUGAACCAGUUCCCAAAGUAUAAUGCAUUGUAAGUAUUUAGUAUAUUGAUAACGGCUUGAAAUCUACAGAAUACCUGUGAUUUUUCUCACAGCCGAAAAGACCCGAACUAUUAUGUGUUCAGCCAAGGAGAGCUUUAGGCUGGCCCACUAUCCCACUAAUCCUCAUUGUUUGAGACGCGGCGAUAAAUGGGGAGUGGUAGGCCAGGCCUGUGUUCCAAGAACAGGGAGGCGUGGCAGG